GCAAGUCGAGCGCACCCCUUCGGGGGCGAGCGGCGGACGGGUUAGUAACGCGUGGGAACGUACCCUUCUCUAAGGAAUAGCCUCUGGAAACGGAGAGUAAUACCUUAUACGCCCUUUGGGGGAAAGAUUUAUCGGAAUUGGAUUAGCCCGCGUUAGAUUAGAUAGUUGGUGGGGUAAUGGCCUACCAAGCCUACGAUCUAUAGCUGGUUUGAGAGGAUGAUC
rnacentral:rRNA from 1 species